rnacentral:rRNA from 1 species
UACGUAGGGGGCUAGCGUUGUCCGGAAUCAUUGGGCGUAAAGCGCGCGUAGGCGGCCCGGUAAGUCCGCUGUAAAAGUCCAGGGCUCAACCCUGGAAAGCCGGUGGAUACUGUCGGGCUCGAGUCCGGAAGAGGCGAGUGGAAUUCCUGGUGUAGCGGUGGAAUGCGCAGAUAUCAGGAAGAACACCGACGGCGAAGGCAGCUCGCUGGGACGGUACUGACGCUGAGGCGCGAAAGCGUGGGGAGCGAACAGG